GGCUCAGAUGAAACGCUGGCGGCGUGCCUAACACAUGCAAGUCGAGCGGUAACAGGUGUAGCAAUACAUGCUGACGAGCGGCGGACGGGUGAGCAAUAUUUGGGAAUCUGCCUAUUAGUGGGGGACAACCCGGGGAAACUCGGGCUAAUACCGCAUACGCACUACGGUGGAAAGCCGGGGACCGCAAGGCCUGGCGCUAAUAGAUGAGCCCAAAUCGGAUUAGCUAGUUGGUGAGGUAACGGCUCACCAAGGCGACAAUCCGUAGCUGGUCUGAGAGGACGACCAGCCACACCGGAACUGAGACACGGUCCGGACUCCUACGGGAGGCAGCAGUGGGGAAUAUUGGACAAUGGGGGAAACCCUGAUCCAGCGACGCCGCGUGGGUGAAGAAGGCCUGCGGGUUGUAAAGCCCUUUCGGUGGGGAAGAAAAGUUUCGACCUAACACGUCGAGACCUUGACGUAACCCAUAGAAGAAGCACCGGCUAACUCUGUGCCAGCAGCCGCGGUAAUACAGAGGGUGCGAGCGUUAAUCGGAAUUACUGGGCGUAAAGCGCGCGUAGGCGGCUUUGCAAGCCGGAUGUGAAAUCCCCGGGCUUAACCUGGGAACUGCAUUCGGGACUGCAUUGCUUGAGUAUGGGAGAGGGAGGCGGAAUUUCCGGUGUAGCGGUGAAAUGCGUAGAUAUCGGAAGGAACAUCAGUGGCGAAAGCGGCCUCCUGGACCAAUACUGACGCUCAUGUGCGAAAGCGUGGGGAGCAAACAGGAUUAGAUACCCUGGUAGUCCACGCCAUAAACGAUGAGAACUGGAUGUCGGGAGGGUCUGCCUCUCGGUGUCGUAGCUAACGCGUUAAGUUCUCCGCCUGGGGAGUACGGCCGCAAAGGUGAAACUCAAAU
rnacentral:rRNA from 1 species